rnacentral:rRNA from 1 species
GGGGGGGGGGGGGGGGGGGGGGGGGGGGGGGGGGGCGGGGGGGGGGGGGGGGGUGUUGGGGGGGGCUGGGGUGGCGGGGGGGUGGGGGGCACGGGGGUCGGCUGACGUGGCCUUUGGUCUAGCUUCAGGGCAAUGGGUGUCGUCCCGGCUAGUGCCUCCUGCUUCCUGGGUGGGGUUUGUCUGUUUCGUCGUUUGGUGAUGGACUCGCGGCUUAUCAGCCUGUUGGUGGGGUAUUUGCUUACCAAGGCUUUGACGGGUAGCCGGCCUGCGAGGGUGACCGGCCACAUUGGGACUGAGAUACGGCCCAGACUCCUACGGGAGGCAGCAGUGGGGAAUAUUGCACAAUGGGCGGAAGCCUGAUGCAGCAACGCCGCGUGCGGGAUGACGGCCUUCGGGUUGUAAACCGCUUUGGCCUGUGACGAAGCGUGAGUGACGGGAAUGGGUAAAGAAGCACCGGCUAACUACGUG